rnacentral:rRNA from 1 species
CCUACGGGCGGCAGCAGUGGGGGAUAUUGCACAAUGGGGGGAACCCUGAUGCAGCGACGCCGCGUGGGUGAAGGAGUAUUUCGGUAUGUAAAGCCCUAUCGGUAGGGAAGAAUUUAGACGGUACCUUACUAAGAAGCCCCGGCGAACUACGUGCCAGCAGCCGCGGUAAUACGUAGGGGGCAAGCGUUAUCCGGAUUUAUGGGGUUUAAAGGGUGCGCAGGCGGUCUGUUAAGUCAGCGGUCAAAGCCCGGGGCUAAACCCCGGCCCGCCGGUGAAACUGGCAGUCUCGAGUUGGAGAGAAGUAUGCGGAAUGCGCGGUGUAGCGGUGAAAUGCAUAGAUAUCGCGCAGAACUCCGAUUGCGAAGGCAGCAUGCCGGCUCCACACUGACGCUGAGGCACGAAAGCGUGGGUAUCGAACAGGAUUAGAUACCCUGGUAGUC